CGCAGCCGCGGUAAUUCCAGCUCCAAUAGCGUAUAUUAAAGUUGUUGCAGUUAAAAAGCUCGUAGUUGAAUUUCGGGAUCAAAUUGUCGGUCGUGCCUCGGUACGCACUGGUAUUAUUGGUUCCUACCUUCUGAAGAACCGCGAUGUCAUUAAUUUGGUGUCGUGGGGAAUCAGGACUGUUACUUUGAAAAAAUUAGAGUGUUUAAAGCAGGCUUACGCUUGAAUACAUUAGCAUGGAAUAAUGAAAUAGGACGUUUGAUUCUAUUUUGUUGGUUUCUAGGAUUGACGUAAUGAUUAAUAGGGAUAGUUGGGGGCAUUAGUAUUCAAUUGUCAGAGGUGAAAUUCUUGGAUUUAUUGAAGACUAACUACUGCGAAAGCAUUUGCCAAGGAUGUUUUCGUUAAUCAAGAACGAAAGUUAGGGGAUCGAAGACGAUCAGAUACCGUCGUAGU
rnacentral:rRNA from 1 species